rnacentral:rRNA from 1 species
UACGGGGGGGGGGCAAGCGUUGUUCGGAAUUACUGGGCGUAAAGGGCGCGUAGGCGGUUGGAUAAGUCAGCUGUGAAAACCACGGGCUUAACUCGUGGCCUGCAGUUGAGACUGUCUGGCUUGAGUGUGGGAGAGGAGAGUGGAAUUCCUGGUGUAGCGGUGGAAUGCGUAGAUAUCGGGAGGAACACCAGUGGCGAAGGCGACUCUCUGGCCUGUAACUGACGCUGAGGCGCGAAAGCGUGGGGAGCGAACAGG